UGCCCGGCCGUGGUGGCGCACACCGGUAGGAUUACGCUGAACACGCAGAGGCAGGAGGAUCACGAGUUCGAGGCCAGCCGGGUCUACAUGGCGACUUCCCUUUUUUUU
rnacentral:snRNA from 1 species